CCCCAAAUUCUUCUCCCUUAUUUCCUCUCGUUUCUCUCUCUCUGUAUAACACGCUGAAACUACCUCUCUCUCUCUCUCUCUGCUUCGGUUCCUUUCUCCUUCCCUCAUCUCACGCCGCCGCCGCCUCCCACGAAUCCGGCGGCGCGUCGCCAGCGUACCAUCGCCGCCCUCAUCUCUUUCUAUCUUUCUCCCUCCUCCCUCAAUUUACCAAACCCCCAAAUCCACAAAUCACUCUCUCUAAAUCCCUAAACCCUCUUUCUCCUACGAUUUUCGGCGAGGUUACCGCCGGACUCGCCCCCCUCUUUGACAGACGAACAGCAGCAGCCAUCGGCCACCACCGUCGUCUAUCUCACAAAUCCACCUCAAAGGCCGAAACCGCCGUCGCUCCCUCCGCCGAACAGCCCCGCUGUCCAGCCGCCUCUCCUCUCUCUCUAUCGCCGGCAGCAGGAGUUACCAGCCCGCCACCACCUCCGGUCCUCCCUCCUUUCUACCUCGACUCCAAUCCGUCCUCACCCACAACAGCAACAACAUCUCAAAACUCACGCCCACACACAUACACACACAGUGCAUAGAUACUCCUUUUGUUUAAUAAAAAUGAUUAUGCAAGAUGAUGCAUCUGUAGAUUUUACUCCAAAUGAACUCAUGAGUUGUUGAGUUGUAGUCAGGGCCGGUCCUGUAUCUCACAGGGCCCUAAGCAAAAAUUAAAAAAUAGGCCCUUAUAAUUUUAUUUUAUUUUAUAUCGACGAAACAAUAAUAAUAUAUUAACAUAAACUUUCUCAACCAAUUAUUCAAAAGAGUUUUCAAUCAAAAGAGAAGAAAAGAUAAGUUACUAAGAAUUCAACAUUAACGGUAUGAUCUAAGUGAAGAAAAGAACUUUCAUAAGACAAAGCUAUGUAAAUAAAUACUUUAUAAUAUGGUUCACCAUAGCAGCAGUAUUGAAUGCAAUCUGUCCUCACAAUAUCUAACCAAAACACAAUUUCUUGUAUAUCUAGCAAGGAUAAAAAGGACAAAAAUAUUAGGAUUUUAUAAAAAAUAAAUGAAAUAUUGAUAGAACAUACAAUAAAAAUUAGUUCAAAAUAGAGAUAAGUUUCUUACUUUAUCUAAAUACAACACGUAUUAUAGUUUUAGAGGCAAAUAUAUUUAUCAAGUUUGUAAUCUGACUGAUCAACCAAAUUUCUUUCAAUUGAUAACAUAGCCAAACCAUUCAACCUGUCUUGCGACAUAGUUGAUCGUAGAUUCACUUUUUGAUUCAUUUUUUUUAGGUAAUGUCUUUUCAGUUACUGCAUAUAUUUUUGGAAUACUAUUUGUUAAACAAAAAUAAUAUAUAUAUAUAUAUAUAUAUAUAUACUAUAUAUAUGUAUAAAUAUCUAUAAAUUGGGCCCCCAAAAAUUUAGGGCCCUAUGCGGCAGCAUGUUGAGCAUGCCCUCAGGUACGGGCCUGGUUGUAGUAAAGAUAAUUUUGAUAUGUUUAUGCUACUGUGUUUGUGUCGAUGGGCCAGUGAAUGAAAGUCCAUAUGUGUCUUUGGUAUGAGAGAUGAUUCUGUGAGUAUAUGUGAGGUUGGGAUGUUUGUUACCUUUGUGGAAAUUGAUUUCUGUUUUCUCGAAAUGUGGGAUGAAGAUGGCUGCUUUAAUUUUAGAGAUAUUGUGGUGUGGUGUUACAAAAGAAAAUUUUGGUGAAGCUUUCUGUUUAAGAACAGAAGCGCAGUGGAGAGUGUAAGUAUGAAGAUGGAGGAUCUGUCCGUACGUGGAUGAACCCCCUUCCAUUAAUCCUCAGAUUAAAAAAAAAAUGGUUUUUGAUGGUAUUCUGAUCAGCUUGUGAAAAUAUCUGUAAUAGUAAUGGGUUUGGGCCUCUAAAAUAAUAACUCGGCCCACUAUAAAAAUAAAUGAUCCCACAUCAUAAUCAAAUAAGG
rnacentral:lncRNA from 1 species